rnacentral:rRNA from 1 species
UCGGGAAUUUUGGGCAAUGGGCGAAAGCCUGACCCAGCAACGCCGCGUGAAGGAUGAAGUAUUUCGGUAUGUAAACUUCGAAAGAAUAGGAAGAAUAAAUGACGGCACUAUUUAUAAGGUCCGGCUAACUACGUGCCAGCAGCCGCGGUAAUACGUAGGGACCAAGCGUUGUUCGGAUUUACUGGGCGUAAAGGGCGCGUAGGCGGCAAUUCAAGUCAUCUGUGAAAUCUCCGGGCUUAACUCGGAACGGUCAGAUGAUACUGCUUUGCUAGAGUGCAGAAGGGGCAAUCGGAAUUCUUGGUGUAGCGGUGAAAUGCGUAGAUAUCAAGAGGAACACCUGAGGUGAAGACGGGUUGCUGGGCUGACACUGACGCUGAGGCGCGAAAGCCAGGGGAGCAAACGGGAUUAGAUACCCGGGUAGUCCCUGAGCGGGCUGGCAAGGCGCAU